GGUUAAAUAUCAUUCAAGCGCAUAUGGUGGAUGCCUCGACAUCAAAAGACGAUGAAGGACGCAGCAGCCUGCGAUAAGCCUCGGUUAGGUGGCAAGCAACCUUUGAUCCGUGGAUCUCCGAAUGGGGUAACCCGGUCCGAUGGAAGAUCGGAUCAUCAUUGCCUGAAUUCAUAGGGUAAUGAAGACGACCCGGCAAAUUGAAACAUCUUAGUAGCCGGAGGAAAAGAAAAAGAAUUUUGCAAUUUACAUUUUGCAAUUGUCUUUUAGACGAUUGCGGAAUUGUAAGUUGCUCCAUUCCCUUAGUAGUGGCGAGCGAACAGGGAAGAGCCCAAAUUCUGUAGGUUAUUUUUGGAAAUUUAUUGAUCCGCAAGGAUUGGUUUAUUUUUAAAAUUAAGGGUGCAAGCCCGUAAUGCCUAUAGAACGUUGUAAAAUAAUUGCAUCUAAGUUCUUGCAAGCUUAAGUAGGGUAAUAUGAAAUAUGACUUCCCUAGUGGAAUGCCUCUGGAAAGUGGCAACCAUAGAAGGUGACAGUCCUGUACGCGAAAGGGGUUAUAGCUCUACAGUGAUUAUUUUGAGUACCGCGGGACUCGUGAAACCCUGCGGGAAGCAGGCCAGACUAUUGGCCAAGGCUAAAUACUUUUGAUGAUCGAUAGCGAACAAGUACCGUGAGGGAAAGGUGAAAAGCAUCCCGGUGAGGGAAAUGAAAUAGUAUCUGAAACCAUAUGCUUACAAAGAGUCGGAGUCCCGCGUUCGCGGGAUGACGGCGUUCCUAUUGAAGAAUGAGCCAACGAGUUUGUUUCAAAUGGCAAGCCUAAGUUCUUAACGGACGGAGGCAAAGUGAAAGCGAGGGUUAAUAACCCGAUUUAGUCAUUUGUACAAGACCCGAAGCCAGGUGACCUAGCCAUGACCAGGGUGAAUCCCGCGUAACAGCGGGAGGAGGCCCGAACCCGUAUGCUGUGCAAAACAUUGGGAUGAGUUGUGGCUGGCGGAGAAAUUCCAAUCGAACUUGGCGAUAGCUGGUUCUCCUCGAAAUAGCUUUAGGGCUAGCCUUGUCGUUGCGCCCGGGGGUAGAGCACUGAAUGGGUGCGGAUGGAGUGAUCCUACUUCACCCAACCAAACUCCGAAUACCGGGUUAGCUUUAUCGGCAGGAGUAAGACUGUGGGGGCUAAGCUCCAUUAGUCAAAAGGGAUACAGCCCAGACCAUCAUUUAAGGUCCCUAAAUCUAAGCUAAGUGUAAAAGGUGGUGACAUGACUCAAACAACCAGGAGGUUGGCUUAGAAGCAGCCAUCCUUUAAAGAAAGCGUAACAGCUCACUGGUCAAGUUGUCUUGCGCCGAAAAUUUAUCGGGGCUCAAGCUUAGUACCGAAGAUAUGGGUCCGGCGGAAUUUAUUUCGUCGGACGGUAGAGGAGCAUUCUUUAACCGCUGAAGUCAGACCCGUGAGGGCUGGUGGAGGUUAAAGAAGAGAGAAUGUUGGCAUGAGUAGCAAAAAGGCGGGUGAGAACCCCGCCCACCGUAAGCCUGAGGUUUCCUGGGCAACGCAAAUCGACCCAGGGUUAGUCGGUCCUAAGGCGAGGCCGAAAGGCGUAGUCGAUGGACGAGCUGGUUAAUAUUCCAGCACUACUUUUGGUUUUCGACGGGGUGACGCAUUAGUGGAGAUUUGACGUUCUAUGGUAUGGACGUUGCUGAUUUGGAAAUGGCAGUAGGCAAAUCCGCUGCCGCAAAUUUCCGACUUGGCAAAAGGCUGAAAGCUUGCUGAUGCCAAUCAAGUCAAAACUGAUGUCUAGAAAAACCUCUAGAGUUAAGCUGAAAGUAACCGUACCGCAAACCGACACAGGUAGGCGGGCAUAAGUGUGCUAAGGUGUACGAGAGAAACCUCGUUUAGGAACUCGGCAAAAAAGCGUCCGUAAGUUCGCAAUAAGGGCUUCCCGCCUUUGGCGGGACGCAGCUAAAGAUCUCAAGCGACUGUUUAUCAAAAACAAAGGUCCCUGCUAAACCGUAAGGUGAUGUAUAGGGGCUGAUGCCUGGCCAGUGUCCGAACGUUAAGGGGAGAGGUGACCCCCGCGCAAGCGGGAUGAGCCUUGAACUGAAGCGCGGAUGAACGCCGGCGGUAACUAUAACCGUCCUAAGGUUUUGUUCUUAUAUAUAUGAGAACAAAAGGACUGGGACGGAUUAUAAAAGAAGUCUGCCUCGUUUUACAGCAAUGUAAAAUUGGUCCGUAAAAACUUAGCUGUAUGCUGGGAAGUGGUAAUCCAUGACCAGCAGGAAAGGCUUAAUAGUUAAAUUUUGUUAUGAUAUUAAUAACAAAAUUGUUGAAAGCGGCUUCUAUUGAAAAAACAAUGUGAAUAGAAGCGUUGAAAUAGAAGUAGUUGGAAAACAAACAUAGUUGUUUUUUAAACAACCUAAAUAAUUACUUCCGCAGCUAUUUCAACUAUUAAGAAUCCUCAGAGACUAUACGCUAAGCCCCGAUCAAGCAUCGGGUGAAGAUAUAGUCCUUCGUAAAAGGGAAACGAAGAGCGAAAUUCCUUGUCGGGUGAGUUCCGACCUGCACGAAUGGCAUAACGACUUGAGAACUGUCUCAACGAGGUACUCGGUGAAAUUGCAAGACGAGUGAAGAUGCUCGUUAUCCGUGGCUGGACGAAAAGACCCCGUGAAGCUUUACUAUAACUUGAUAUUGGCUUAAAGUUUCGCAUGUUCAGAAUAGGUGGGAGUCCCGCCUUUGGCGGGACGACAGUGAGAUACCACCCUUGUGAUUUUUUAAGUCUAACCUUUUGCCCUGAAGCGGGUGAAGGGACAGUAUCUGGUGGGUAGUUUAACUGGGGCGGUUGCCUCCCAAACAGUAACGGAGGCGUUUACAAAGGUUGGCUAAUCCCGGAUGGAAAUCGGGAUGAUAGUGCAAACGCAUAAGCCAGCUUUACUGCGAGUCUAACCAGACAAGCAGUUGCGAAAGCAGAAGUUAGUGAUCCGACCGUACGAAAUAGGACGGCGGAAGCUCAACGGAUAAAAGCUACUCCGGGGAUAACAGGCUAGUCGGGCCCAAUAGUUCACAUAGACGGCCCGGUUCGGCACCUCGAUGUCGGCUCGUCGCAUCCUGGGGGUGAAGAAGCUCCCAAGGGUUUGGCUGUUCGCCAAUUAAAGCGGCACGCGAGCUGGGUUCAGAACGUAAAUUACAUUGCGUUCUAUCACAGAAAUGUGAUAAAAAAAAUCUAACUAAUAUCGGUGAAACCCUAAAUUAAUUUUACGAACUGAUUUUUUUAGGGCAAUACCGAGGGAAGAUUAAUUUUGUGCUAUUGCAGCAUAAAUUAUUCCCCGUAUCGACUGAUGUCCGACGUUAUGUCGGACUGAGAUAGAAGGUACCUGAUAUUCAGGAAUUAAACUUCUAUCAGACGUUAGCUCCUCCUCAAAUGUUUUUGAGAGGAUGAAGGUAUAGUCAGUGCCUAAAGCAAUUUAGGAAUAACAUGCGUGAGACAGUUCGGUCUCCUAUCCGCCACGGACGUUGAAACUUGAGAAGGCUCUUCCCUAGUACGAGAGGACCGGGAAGAACGAACCUCUAGUGUACCAGCUGUUCUACCAAGGGCACCGCUGGGUAGCUAAGUUCGGUUUAGAUAAGCGCUGAAAGCAUAUAAGCGCGAAGCUGUCUUCAAGAUUAGGUUUCAUUAUAGGCCCCUCAAAGAUGAUGAGGUUGAUAGGCCUCAGGUGUAAGUGCAGUAAUGCAUUCAGCCGAGAGGUACUAAUAGGCCGAGAUAUUUAACCAC
rnacentral:rRNA from 1 species